rnacentral:lncRNA from 1 species
AUUAUAAUUCUUGGGAGGAUCUUUGUGGGAUUUGGAGUCGGGAUGGCUUCUAUGACCUCUCCACUGUACAUUUCUGAGGCUUCUCCUGCAAGAAUUAGAGGUGCUCUUGUUAGCACUAACGGGCUACUGAUAACAGGAGGACAAUUUUUUUCUUACCUUAUAAAUCUGGCAUUCACCAAGGUACCAUGUCAAGUCCUUUUCUAUCAUCGAUAGUGGUUACCUACUAAAUUAACUGUGUACCAGUACAGAUUUCUAACAGCAAAAAUGACGUUUACGACAUUUGGUAGGCACCUGGUACUUGGCGAUGGAUGCUUGGGGUUGCAGCAGUUCCAGCACUUGUUCAAUUUUUGUUAAUGUUGUCCCUUCCUGAGUCACCUAGA